AUGCACGCUGGCGGCGUGCCUAAUACAUGCCAGUCGAGCGAACGGACGAGAAGCUUGCUUCUCUGAUGUUAGCGGCGGACGGGUGAGUAACACGUGGAUAACCUACCUAUAAGACUGGGAUAACUUCGGGAAACCGGAGCUAAUACCGGAUAAUAUUUUGAACCGCAUGGUUCAAAAGUGAAAGACGGUCUUGCUGUCACUUAUAGAUGGAUCCGCGCUGCAUUAGCUAGUUGGUAAGGUAACGGCUUACCAAGGCAACGAUGCAUAGCCGACCUGAGAGGGUGAUCGGCCACACUGGAACUGAGACACGGUCCAGACUCCUACGGGAGGCAGCAGUAGGGAAUCUUCCGCAAUGGGCGAAAGCCUGACGGAGCAACGCCGCGUGAGUGAUGAAGGUCUUCGGAUCGUAAAACUCUGUUAUUAGGGAAGAACAUAUGUGUAAGUAACUGUGCACAUCUUGACGGUACCUACUCAGAAAGCCACGGCUAACUACGUG
rnacentral:rRNA from 1 species